GUUGUCUGCCUUUCUUGGACGUUUCCUCCCUAAACUUUCAGGGGCCGCCAUCUGUGCGGCCCUCUUUUUUCAUAUAC
rnacentral:sRNA from 2 species